rnacentral:rRNA from 1 species
UACGUAGGGGGCAAGCGUUGUCCGGAAUCAUUGGGCGUAAAGAGCGUGUAGGCGGCCCGGUAAGUCCGCUGUGAAAGUCCAGGGCUCAACCCUGGAAAGCGGGUGGAUACUGCCGGGCUAGAAUCCGGAAGAGGCGAGUGGAAUUCCUGGUGUAGCGGUGGAAUGCGCAGAUAUCAGGAGGAACACCAAUAGCGAAGGCAGCUCGCUGGGACGGUAUUGACGCUAAGGCGCGAAAGCGUGGGGAGCAAACAGG